AUAUUGCACAAUGGGGGAAACCCUGAUGCAGCGACGCCGCGUGAGUGAAGAAGUAUUUCGGUAUGUAAAGCUCUAUCAGCAGGGAAGAAAAUGACGGUACCUGAGUAAGAAGCCCCGGCUAACUACGUGCCAGCAGCCGCGGUAAUACGUAGGGGGCAAGCGUUAUCCGGAUUUACUGGGUGUAAAGGGAGCGUAGACGGUUUGGCAAGUCUGAAGUGAAAGGCAUGGGCUUAACCCGUGGACUGCUUUGGAAACUGCAGAACUGGAGUGCAGGAGAGGUAAGUGGAAUUCCUAGUGUAGCGGUGAAAUGCGUAGAUAUUAGGAGGAACACCAGUGGCGAAGGCGGCUCUCUGGUCUGCAACUGACGCUGAGGCUCGAAAGCAUGGGUAGCGAA
rnacentral:rRNA from 1 species